ensembl:antisense Gm15956 predicted gene 15956
AUCACCAGGCCUGACUACAUCUUCAAUACUUCCUAAGUACUUGCAUGCUGGGCAACUUGUACAGGAAACCCUACAGAAUAGCCUGGUCCCAGAGUGCACCUGUUGCUAAGCCCCAGACAGAGGGCUCUCACGAGACUGGCUGCUCCCCUUUAAGGUGACAUCAUGAAGAGUUCUGCGUUCACAGGCCAGCAGCCCAGUCCAGCAGAGUCCUGCAGCUCAUCACUGUUGCCCCUUGCAUGAUUUGCAUUCAGAAGCAAGCAUUAACACCUACACACAUGCUCUGAAAACUCCACUCAACAGCAGCUAACAGAGUUAACGGAAAAAAGCAGCUUACGUUUGGCAUUGAGAGAGACUGAUCCAACCCGAUGUCUACUUUGUUCACCACCGCAACACUGAAUGACAGAACGCCCACAAACACCGCUACCUGGAAAAAAGCAAACCGCGAGACGAUUGCUAAUGUAAUAAUAAACUGAAGAAGAGAAAUAAAGUCUUACACCCCAAA